rnacentral:lncRNA from 1 species
UGACAUGUUGGCUGAAGUGUGAGAUUUUUUUUUCAAUUUUUGCUGCUUCUUUGGGCUUAAUGUGUUACAAAAUAUAUCAAGACAGUCAAGAUAACACUAGCCAAGAAACGAUAAGGUGCUGCUUGGAUAUUGUUUAGUACUAUUUAAGUAUUAAGGAAGUAAUAGAGAAGUUUUGAGAUGAUGGCCAAUGUUUUUUUCAUGGUUUUGUUUGUCCUUUCAACAUGCUGGGAAAGAUGACAAGUUCAACAGGAAAGUGAGCCUGUCAGGUGAAUAUUCUCUGAACCAAACCAAACAUAGUGCGAAUGGAACCACUGGAACAACAGAUGGAAAAAAGCUUGAACUUCUUCGUUUUAUUCGACUGUCUAUCACGUGUCUGGGUUUGUCGAUCAUGCUCGUUCUCUCAUAUGCCAUCUUCACCCACCUUCACAAACUGAAGAUACACAGGACUAUGUCUCAACAGGAUGUGGUAGAACACCAGCCCGAGGUCUCUGGUAUGCGCGAGAAGAAAGUAGGCAGAGGGCACAGAAGCUACAAAGAGAAGAUCAACUCAAUCUACAUGUGCAUGCCUGACAAAUUACCAGCACAGGGAGCAGGACAUGACCUUUGACCUGGAAGUUCUCUAUCUGGAAGAUGAGCAUACACAUUCCCGCUGUGCUUUGGUCCAAUUCCUACACCGAACGUGACAGAACUACCCACCACCAACGGACCAAGCAGCGGGGUAAGGAGCAUGGUGAAGAAGAAUGGACAUGGGCAGAGAUGAGGAUGAGCAUAUCCAGGGCUAUGGAGGAUGUAAGGAAGACCGAGAGGCAUCCCCAAGAACAUUCUUUUGGGGGGGCACACGGGGAGUUGGGCAGAGUCAGGAUGGAGACCUGAGCCAACUCCCCGUGCUUAUUAUGGGGAGCAACGAAUGAGUGUCACCUCAGUCAUUCUUGCAACCAAAGUCCUUUGAGAUAUGUUCACCCUCUGGUUGGUAUUAUCUUCGGAACUAUUUAGUCCUUUUUAACAGACUAAGGGUGAUUUAUCUAGCGGACAAGCAUUCCAUACAACAUAAAUCAAGUAUUUCCUCAUUUACCACUGCAAAUCUACUGUGGCAAUUUACCAGACAUUUUGUAUGAAUGAAAACUUUUGGUGUAGCCUGUUAAUAUUUUUAUUUGUUUCCUAUUUAUGUUAGCCAUUAAAAUACUACUGUC